AACGAACGCUGGCGGCAUGCCUAACACAUGCAAGUCGAACGAAGCCUUCGGGCUUAGUGGCGCACGGGUGCGUAACGCGUGGAAAUCUGCCCUUUGGUUCGGAAUAACAGUUGGAAACGACUGCUAAUACCGGAUGAUGACGAAAGUCCAAAGAUUUAUCGCCAGAGGAUGAGCCCGCGUAGGAUUAGCUAGUUGGUGUGGUAAAGGCGCACCAAGGCGACGAUCCUUAGCUGGUCUGAGAGGAUGAUCAGCCACACUGGGACUGAGACACGGCCCAGACUCCUACGGGAGGCAGCAGUGGGGAAUAUUGGACAAUGGGCGAAAGCCUGAUCCAGCAAUGCCGCGUGAGUGAUGAAGGCCCUAGGGUUGUAAAGCUCUUUUACCCGGGAUGAUAAUGACAGUACCGGGAGAAUAAGCCCCGGCUAACUCCGUGCCAGCCGCCGCGGUAACAC
rnacentral:rRNA from 1 species